UACGUAGGUGACAAGCGUUGUCCGGAUUUACUGGGCGUAAAGAGCGCGCAGGCGGUCGUUCAAGUCGAGUGUGAAAGCCCCCGGCUCAACCUGGGAAUGGCAUUGGAAACUGGCUUGCUGGAGUGUGGCAGAGGGGGGUGGAAUUCCGCGUGUAGCAGUGAAAUGCGUAGAGAUGCGGAGGAACACCGAUGGCGAAGGCAGCCCCCUGGGCCAACACUGACGCUCAGGCACGAAAGCGUGGGGAGCAAACAGG
rnacentral:rRNA from 1 species